GUUAAAGCUGAGGGGCGGGGGGAGCCAGAAGGGGCUGGAAAUUGGAGAAAGAAGUCGCUAAGCACAAGAAACCAGAAGGCUUUCAUCAGAAUGUUUCAGAAGGGAAAUAAAUCAUGCAUUCCACAAUUACACCAGGCAAUGUACUAGGCAAAUUAGUUCCUGUCCCAACAGACACAAUUACCGUGACUGCUCAAGAGGAAAAUACAGAGUUCUUUAUGACAAAAUAAGAGAAAACUAAUUGAAGUCAUAGAGGUAGGUGUGAGGCUGAUGAGGCCUCGCUGAUGAAGUAACAUUAGAGGCAGCAUGUGCAGCAAGAAUAGGGUUUAGAUCCCCGGUACGAAAAAAAAAAUUGGCUUUGAUCAGGCCAGAGUGAACACCUCGCAAUGAGACAGUGGAGUGCUAAAGACUUGGUGAAUUUGGGAACGUAGAAUGCUAGGGGGGAAAAGGGAAUAUUUUCCUUUCAGUCAGCCGAUGAAUCCUCGCUCUGUGGUGUAAAUCUUAAGAGCAUCGUAUAGUACGUGGCUAAGCUUCGUUAUCGGGGCAGCUGUCCCUUCACUGUCCUCCUCCUGGAGCACCGGGCUUCGUGGUCAGGGCAACUGGGUUUUGGUUCCGAGGCUAACUGAGCAGGGGAAGGCAGAGGAGCCAGGUCGCACGGUCUGAAAAGCAUGAGCCUGCAUCUCACUCCAACACAAUGACUUUGGCAUGGCCCAAUUUGUGUCUAUAAAAGCCCAGCUGGGUUACAGUACCGGUGACAAGCUGCAGAGGGAACGAGGAGGCGACACUGGGAGAUGCUCCGGGAGAAUGACUGCGUGAGCCAAGGUCGAGUCGGCCGUAGGCCCACGACAGACGCCACCCGACUGUCUUCCAAGCACCCCCCGGGAGUGUAACGGAGACCUAACAGCGGCCUCCCGCCGCUCCGGGAGCCCUACUCGCCAGCAACCCCACGACUCUAACCCGUCGCUAAGGUGGGCACGCCCCGCGACGUCACUUCCGCCCACAGGUGAACCGCCGGAAACAGCGCGACCGGCGUUACCGCCGGGCUUCGUCAGGGAGGCCAGAGGCUGGGGUUGCGGGGCUGCGAUCCCCGAAGGUGCCCCAGCCGGACCAGACACCCUCACCCCCAGUCAGCCGGGCUGUCUAACACUCACCCUGGGCAGCGUGGUUGCCCCACGCGUAAACCAAGUCGCAACGGUCCUGCCGCCAGCCUCCCAGGGAUGAGACGUGUUCGGCGUGACGCUCGCGCCCACCGGAAGAUCCGCCCCAGCCGCGGGGCGAGACCCAGUGCGCACGCGCUGGGCUGCCAACUGGGUUAGGAGCGCCGGCGCGAACGUGUGGUUGCUGGGAAGCCCAAUCUUCUGCCUCCCGGCUGCCUGGGCAUGUCUGGAAACCGGCGUUUUACUCUAGUGAAAAGCACAUCCUCAGUAAGGCGGUUGUAAGCACUGAGAUGUUUCCAAAGAAAGAGGCGGGGGGCGGGGGGUAAGGGGUAAGGCAGCGGGCCCUAUCGAUGGAAAUGCUUACAAUUAACCUCUGAGCCUAUCAAGUGGCUGGGGGAUGCCGAGGAUCAAACCCACAGUCUCCCACUUGUUAGGCAUGUGCUCCAUUAUUGAACUACAUCCCCAGCCCCCUUCCACGAACCUGAAAGAAUGGAGGUGUAGGGAGCCACACUAUCUCCCAGAGAAUCUCACUUUGCAGUUCCCGCCGCAGUGGGCGUCUCCCUCCCUAGCCAUCUUGAGUUCUCUGAAAAGGUGAGCAGUAGGAAAGGGUCUUACCCACCCCACACUCUCACACCUGAGCCAAGAGUUUAGGGCGUUGCAAACUGGCUGGGGAAGUAGACCUGAUCUAACUACAAAGUUCCCGACACAUGCACAAAACAGUUCCCAAAGCCCUGUAGUGGAGCCAACCAGAGAGCGCUAUCUUUAGGAUGGCCUAGACCAGGCAUCAGCCUGAGGAGUGGGGGAUACACAAGGACAGCCACCACUGAGCUGGGUGCUACUGCAUUUUUUUUUCCUGGUGCUCUGCUCUCAUGCUGUAGAGUAUUCUUUUUCCUACUUGGCCCAAACUCACUCUCCAGAACGUUUCUUUUCCUACCUUUAAUAAAUACAAAAC
rnacentral:lncRNA from 1 species